AGAAUCAACGCUGGCGGCGUGCCUAACACAUGCAAGUCGCACGAGAAAGGGACUUCGGUCCUGAGUACAGUGGCGCACGGGUGAGUAACACGUGAAUAAUCUACCUUCGAGUGGGGAAUAACUGAGAGAAAUCUUAGCUAAUACCGCAUAAUACCUACGGGUCAAAGCAGUAAUGCGCUUGAAGAGGAGUUCGCGGCAGAUUAGUUAGUUGGCGGGUAAUGGCCCACCAAGACGAUGAUCUGUA
rnacentral:rRNA from 1 species